rnacentral:rRNA from 1 species
UACGUAGGGUGCGAGCGUUGCCCGGAUUUAUUGGGCGUAAAGGGCGCGUAGGCGGUCACGCACGUCCGUUGUGAAAUCGCUCGGCUCAACUGGGCGGGGACAGCGGAUACGGCGUGGCUGGAGCAAGCUAGGGGGCAAUGGAAUUCCCGGUGUAGUGGUGGAAUGCGUAGAUAUCGGGAGGAACACCAGUGGCGAAGGCGGUUGCCUGGAGCUUUGCUGACGCUGAUGCGCGAAAGCGUGGGGAGCGAUCCGG